rnacentral:rRNA from 1 species
UGCGUAGGCGGGUAGGUAAGUCAGUGGUGAAAUCCUGGAGCUCAACUCCAGAACUGCCAUUGAUACUAUCUAUCUUGAAUAUUGUGGAGGUAAGCGGAAUAUGUCAUGUAGCGGUGAAAUGCUUAGAUAUGACAUAGAACACCCAUUGCGAAGGCAGCUUACUACGCAUAUAUUGACGCUGAGGCACGAAAGCGUGGGGAUCAAACAGGAUUAGAUACCCCUGUA